AGUGAACGCUGGCGGUAGGCCUAACACAUGCAAGUCGAACGGCAGCACAGGAGAGCUUGCUCUCUGGGUGGCGAGUGGCGGACGGGUGAGGAAUACAUCGGAAUCUACUUUUUCGUGGGGGAUAACGUAGGGAAACUUACCCUAAUACCGCAUACGACCUACGGGUGAAGGCAGGGGAUCUUCGGACCUUGCGCGAUUGAAUGAGCCGAUGUCGGAUUAGCUAGUUGGCGGGGUAAAGGCCCACCAAGGCGACGAUCCGUAGCUGGUCUGAGAGGAUGAUCAGCCACACUGGAACUGAGACACGGUCCAGAAUCCUACGGGAGGCAGCAGUGGGGAAUAUUGGACAAUGGGCGCAAGCCUGAUCCAGCCAUACCGCGUGGGUGAAGAAGGCCUUCGGGUUGUAAAGCCCUUUUGUUGGGAAAGAAAUCCAGCUGGUUAAUACCCGGUUGGGAUGACGGUACCCAAAGAAUAAGCACCGGCUAACUUCGUGCCAGCCGCCGCAGUAA
rnacentral:rRNA from 1 species